rnacentral:misc_RNA from 1 species
AUCAAAAUUUAGUCUUGCCGUACCACCCUCCCCAGCCUCAAGAACCACAGAUUAAGUUCCUCAAAACUUUCCAUCUCAAACAAAGUUACUGGGCUUGAAAGCUGAACCACUGAUCAUAUAUAGCUCAAUGAAUCAUCAAAGACGAAAAUAAAAUAGAAAGUUGAUUGUAACAUGUCAUAAUACUGGGAUAGUUACAGAGUUUAUUUAUGUCAGAGACCCUAAUGGAGGCUAUAAGGACGAUCAGCACCCCCAUCUCCAUGUAUUGUCAAGGCAAAAGGAGAGUGACCUUCUUUUCUUGAAAAAGAAAAUUGGAAAAGAAGAGGGCAAAUGACCAUAUUCACACGUGGAAAAUUUGGGAUCAUCAAUUGCUUUCCUCCUAAGCCACGCCGUUGUUACUUAGCACUAACUCAUCUACUUACAUCUCAAGAUACCUUUGAGUCGAACCACCAUGAACUGUCUCAAGGAAUUCAUGAACUUUAUGAUUGUUGGAGACUAUUUGCUACAAGAAAAGUGUCUCAGCACUUCUCUGUUUAAUCAUACUAUUUAACAAGUUAUUUAACGAGUUGUACACACCAUUAAGUGCACGUCGAGCAACAAACAAUUUAAGACUUCUUCUAAGUGCCUUGGGAAUUUCUAAAGGGAGAACAAUUGUGAGAGUCUAAAAUCUUGAUUUUUUGCACUGUGAGAUAAAGCAUUCGAUCGACUACUAUUGAAAAACUAAAUAGGCAAUAAUAUAAGUAUUAUUCUACCAAAAACUCUAAUCUACAAAGGCAUGAUACUAGCAAAUUAAAUUAAUAUGAGACAAAAGCAAUUAGAACUUCUGCUUUAGAACUUUGCAAAGAUAUCAUGAUGCCUUGCCAAACAAUAAAGGCGACUACUAUUGGAGGAUUUAGCUGGCGCACGCAAACCUCACCUAUUAAGAGCUGCCAAAUCAACCAAAAAGAGCUGUUUCAAAUUAAUUAUUAUGAACAUAGCAUCCAUUUCCAAAUUACACAAUUAAAUCACAUCACUGCUCAUACCUGUAUAAAAUGACACAAACUACCAAAUUUACUUCAAUUACUCUCCACCAUGAAGUUUCAUGCCACUGAGCAUUCUAGUGGAAACAGCUCACAGAAAAGGCUGUUCCUGAUAGCCUUCACUUUAAUUUUCCUCACCAUAAUCCCUCUGUAUCUGUUGAAGAAUUCGCGCUCACCUUUACCAUCUCAUAGUGUCAAUAUCAGUGAUUUGAGAAGCAGAGAAAGAGUGAAGGAAUGUGAUAUUUUUACUGGAAAAUGGGUGCCUUAUCUCAGAGGACCUUACUAUACUAAUGCAACCUGCAAUUUGAUCAUUGAUCAGCAAAACUGCAUGAAAUUUGGGAGGCCUGAUACAGAGUUCAUGAAAUGGAGAUGGAGACCAGAGGAAUGUGAGCUUCCUUUCUUUAACACAGUGCAGUUCUUGGGUCUUGUUAGAGGGAAAUCGAUGGCCUUUGUUGGGGAUUCAGUGGGAAGGAACCAAAUGCAAUCACUGUUGUGUCUCCUAGCCAGUGUAAGUUCUCAAUUGCUCAUUUCCAUUCAAUUACUAAGCAUGCUCCAGCAUAAUGAUUCUAAACUGAAACCCAAAAGAGAAUGUGCUCUCAUUUCUACUCUGCAACGUCUUUUAGGUGGUCCACCCAGUGGAUGUUUCUCACAAAUAUACAUCAGAUACAACAUAUUUCAGGUAUUGGUUCUAUAGUGAUUACAGGUUUACCUUAGCCACUUUAUGGUCUCCCUUCCUGGUUAAAUCCUGCGAUGCAGACCCCAGUGGUCAUUCUCUCAACAGCCUGAUGAACCUUUACUUAGACCAGGCAGAUAAGGCAUGGGCAAGUCAGAUUGAAAAUUUUGAUUAUGUGGUCAUCUCUGCCGGACAAUGGUUCUUUCGUCCUCUGAUAUACUACUUGAAUGGCCAGAUUGUUAGCUGUCACAACUGCAAUAAAGAAAACAUUACUGCUGUUACUAAGUACUAUGGAUACAGGAUGGCCUUUCGAACUGCCUUUGGGACCCUUCUGAGGCUAAAAGGAUUCAAGGGUAUAACAUUUUUAAGGACAUUUUCCCCAUCCCACUUUGAGAAUGGGGCUUGGAAUGCAGGAGGGAGUUGUCCAAGGACGAAACCCUAUACAAGUGAAGAAAUGAAGCUAGAAGAUUAUAACUUGGAAUUCUACUUGACACAGGUUGAGGAACUUAAGAAAGCAGAGAAAGAAGGGAGGAAGAGAGGUUUGAAAUUUGUGCUGCUAGCUACUACUGAAGCAAUGCUGCUUAGACCAGAUGGACAUCCAAAUCAUUAUGGACACUCGCUGCAUCGGAAUAUGACCGUAGCCGACUGUGUUCAUUGGUGCUUGCCAGGCCCCAUUGACACUUGGAAUGAGUUUCUGCUUUAUGUAAUGAAGAGGGAAGCUCAGAGAUCCUUUCGUGGCGAGCUGCAGAAAAUUGUUUGAUGUUUAUGGAUACAUUUUUUACAUAUAUGUUGCAAAUACUAUUUAAUGAGUAUUCUUUAUAAUGUAAUGAUUUGUUAUUUUGACGUAAAUUAAAAGCUGAAAUUUGAAGUCUCAUUGGUUUUUCAGUAGUUCUGCGACGGUACAAAUGAUCUCAAUGCAUGUAGCAGAUAAACCUGUUUUGAUGGGAUUUUCUUAUCAAGUAAUAAUAAAGAAUUAAAGACUGCAGUUCAAGAAAAUCACUUGGCUCUUAACAAUACUGGCUGCAAUAAGGUGGUAUCACAUGGCAGUUUUGCACACCAUAUCAAGUUUACAUUU